rfam:Medicago truncatula strain A17 chromosome 1, whole genome shotgun sequence.
GGCCUAUUAGCUCAAUUGGUUAGAGUGUGGUGCUAAUAAGGUCAAGGUCGCAGGUUCGAGACCUGCAUGGGCCA